rnacentral:rRNA from 1 species
GAGGAAUAUUGCGCAAUGGAGGAAACUCUGACGCAGCGACGCCGCGUGAAGGAUGAAGGCCCUCUGGGUCGUAAACUUCUGUAGAGAGGGAAGAAUGUGCCAUUCUUUGGCAUUGACGGUACCUCUAAAGUAAGGGUCGGCUAACUACGUGCCAGCAGCCGCGGUAAUACGUAGGACCCGAGCGUUGUCCGGAAUCACUGGGUGUAAAGGGAGCGCAGGCUGACUUUCAAGUCGAUGGUGAAAUCUUGUGGCUUAACCACAAAACUGCCGUCGAUACUGUCUGUCUUGAGUGUGGUAGAGGGUGGCAGAAUUCAUGGUGUAGCGGUGAAAUGCGUAGAUAUCAUGAAGAACACCGGUUGCGAAGGCGGCCACCUGGUCCAUUACUGACGCUCAGCUCAAAAGA